ensembl:lncRNA
GCCUUCCCCUGUCAAUCAUUAAUCAAGAAAAUGCCUCACAGACUUGCGUACAAGCAAUCUGACCAAGGCAUCUUCUUGUGUGGGUGGAGUUGACGCAAAACAAGCACAGGGUUCGGGCUAAGGGAUGAUUUCGCCUUUCCUCCAUCUCUGUUGCGAUUUGGAAGUCUGGUCACAUAGUUGAGAGAGGUCUUCCAAGUUCGUGAGAAUCUUUUGCAGAAACAGAUUCACAGACUUGCUCAGUUAACUCUGUGUGCCACAGUAGACAAUGCCGCUGCUGGUGUUCUGGGGACACACUCUCUCAGUGCCGCAGAGCUCGAGCUCCUGGACACUGUUAGUACUAAUGGAAUCAGAUAACCCAGUCCUGAAUCCCAGAGAAAGCCAUUUCCCAAUUGUAGCUAUAUUUGUAACCCAUAGCAAAGUCAUUCUGAUGCUCACAAGGCCGGGGUGUGGCAAGGGCUCCAGGGAGCCAGCACCCCUGUUAGGUAGGUAAGGGAAGAGUCCACCCCACCCUCUUACAUGUGAUGGCACUGGACACACAGGCAUGCAGCCCACUCCUGUGCAUCUAGGAUGAGUACCAGACACAAGGCAAGGGCACGCACAUUUGAAAGAACCAAAUGACUGCACGUCAGCCGUCAUCCAAGUUCAGAGUAGGCAUAACAGAUAUCGAUUAGGCAUAACCUAAUGGAGUCUAUUCAGGGGAUAGAGGGAGAGUGUAGCUGUCCUUCCUCUGGAGUGACUGAGAAGUAUCAGAGUAGCUGAAAUCACAGAGGCUAGCACAGGUAAGCCUUAAGAAAUUCCUCCAGGUGUAUUGCGUCCAGACUUGUACCAGCGCUGAGAAGUGCUCGCUUUGACAAGACCUCUGGAUUCCCCGUGUAUACGUAGUCUAAAGAAACAAGCUUCUCAAAAUACACUAGGGAAAAAUCCCUUUGAAAUGCUCAAGUUACCCCUGGGUGGCGAUAAAGAUACCCACAGCUCCUUCUACUUUAGAGUUAAAGCAACCUUUAACCUUCCCGGCACUUCAGUACCCUCAUUAAUCGUGUGUACAAAAGCAUCACCAGU